UUGGCGCACAGGGAAUGCGUGGGAAAAAAUAGCGUGUAUCGGUUAUGCGGCGAUACUACGACAGCAACAGUCCUGAUCCGGCGACCAGUACUUAAGGUCUAAGCAUUGCCGUGUAAGGAUUAUUGUUGAAUUACGACGGAGCUUAACUGGACACAACACAAUGGACUACAUGCAGAUACAAAGGGGCUUCAUGGUGCUGGUGGCCUGCAGUAUGAUAACCUGCUAUGCAUAUCCUCUGGAAGUCGACGACGACGACGACCCUUGUGCAAUCUGUUUUAUAGAUUUCAAUGACAAAGCAUGCGACCUGUGCAAGAUCGAACACCUGACGCCCGAAAAACGCAGCGGAUCCGUGUUCCAUCCAUUUUUUAGAGGAGCUGUCUACAACAAAAAGAGCAGCUAUCAUUUUAAUCCUCUGAUCCGAGGGACCUACCCCAAGAAGUCUCCGUAUGUUCCAGUUUACCACCCAUUUCUGAGGGGAGGGUAUGGCGGAGCCCGUUUAUACGUGCCUGAGACGGAGAAAUAACAAACGUUAUUCAUUUGUCCCGGUUACAUACGAUUGUACGUGUACACAUAUAAUGGUUUGUGUAUGUGACGUAUCUCAUUUUUCAUAGGAGUUGAUACAUUCCAGUAAUCUGCUAUGGAUAUUUAUGCAUUCGAAGCGGGCAGGGUUGAUUUUGGAACAAAAGAGACACCUUCAACCAUCGUCAUACUCAGUUUGUAUUAUACUUACGACUAGAUCCGUUUAUAAUCCUUAAAGAAAAUGGUUUACAUUUAGUACAUACUAGCAUAUACACACGCUUAGAUAUACACUUGACAUUAUGUUGGAACCGACUGAGGACAUAUUACUGUCUUAAAAUGCGCCUAUGUCUUUGUUAUUUGUUGUUCAUUUUUUGCUGUUGGUCGUUGUGCAAUUGCGUUCAUUUAUAACACACUAUGUUAUCACAUUUAAUUUAAAAUAAAGAUACUUUCUAA